GGGUGACAUCAUAAUACUCUAUAGCAACGAUAGAGGCCCAGAGAAUAAUAGCCAACACUUAACAUGACGCCCACGAUGUGCAGGCACUGUUCUAAGCAUUUUACAUAUGUAAACUGGUUAAUCCUCAUCACAACUCCAUGAGUUCUGUCUCUUUUCACUUUCAACAGUUUCCUGGUUGAAGGAUUAAUUAUCUGCUACCUGAUCUAAAGUUGAUAAAUGAAAAACAUCAGUAUUAACACAUGACAUGGAAAAAACACCAGAGGAGAAAAAACCACCAAAGGAAGAAAAACAAAAACUGUGAACAGUGAUGUCUCACCGGGGGUGGGAGCACAGCAGCAGACAUUUGUCAAAACUCACCCAACUCUAUAAUUUAAAUGUGUACAUUUUAUGGUAUAUAAAUGAUUCCUCAAUAAAGUUGAUUAAUCCAAAUAUAGUGGCCUUCAGAGAUGGCAGGGGUGAGUGAGAAGCCACUUUUUAUUGUUUGAUUUUGUUUAAAUAUGGAUUUUUACUUUAACAAUGUUUUUU
rnacentral:lncRNA from 1 species